rnacentral:tRNA from 1 species
ACGCCAGUAGCUCAGUGGAAGAGCAGCGGACUGAUAACCGCGUGUCGCAGGUUCGAUUCCUGUCUGGCGUA